UAUCCUUUGUUGCCAGCGAUUAGGUCGGGAACUCAAAGGAGACUGCCAGUGAUAAACUGGAGGAAGGUGGGGAUGACGUCAAGUCAUCAUGGCCCUUACGACCAGGGCUACACACGUGCUACAAUGGCGCAUACAAAGAGAAGCGACCUCGCGAGAGCAAGCGGACCUCAUAAAGUGCGUCGUAGUCCGGAUUGGAGUCUGCAACUCGACUCCAUGAAGUCGGAAUCGCUAGUAAUCGUGGAUCAGAAUGCCACGGUGAAUACGUUCCCGGGCCUUGUACACACCGCCCGUCACACCAUGGGAGUGGGUUGCAAAAGAAGUAGGUAGCUUAACCUUCGGGAGGGCGCUUACCACUUUGUGAUUCAUGACUGGGGUGAAGUCGUAACAAGGUAACCGUAGGGGAACCUGCGGUUGGA
rnacentral:rRNA from 5 species